UUGAGCUGUAUGUCGUGAAAGUGACAUGUACAGUUCUUAGGCGAGAAGGAGGGAGCAAUCCCUUCAACUUAGCCGAC
rnacentral:ncRNA from 1 species